CGGCGAGUGAGCGGCAAAAGCUCAAAUUUGAAAUCUGGUACCUUCGGUGCCCGAGUUGUAAUUUGGAGAGGGCAACUUUGGGGCCGUUCCUUGUCUAUGUUCCUUGGAACAGGACGUCAUAGAGGGUGAGAAUCCCGUGUGGCGAGGAGUGCGGUUCUUUGUAAAGUGCCCUCGAAGAGUCGAGUUGUUUGGGAAUGCAGCUCUAAGUGGGUGGUAAAUUCCAUCUAAAGCUAAAUAUUGGCGAGAGACCGAUAGCGAACAAGUACAGUGAUGGAAAGAUGAAAAGAACUUUGAAAAGAGAGUGAAAAAGUACGUGAAAUUGUUGAAAGGGAAGGGCAUUUGAUCAGACAUGGUGUUUUGUGCCCUCUGCUCCUUGUGGGUAGGGGAAUCUCGCAUUUCACUGGGCCAGCAUCAGUUUUGGUGGCAGGAUAAAUCCAUAGGAAUGUAGCUUGCCUCGGUAAGUAUUAUA
rnacentral:rRNA from 1 species